UACGUAGGGUGCGAGCGUUAAUCGGAAUUACUGGGCGUAAAGCGUGCGCAGGCGGUUUUGUAAGCCAGAUGUGAAAUCCCCGGGCUUAACCUGGGAAUGGCAUUUGGGACUGCAAGGCUGGAGUAUGGCAGAGGAGACCAGAAUUCCUGGUGUAGCAGUGAAAUGCGUAGAUAUCAGGAGGAAUACCGAUGGCGAAGGCAGGUCUCUGGGCCAAUACUGACGCUCAUGCACGAAAGCGUGGGGAGCAAACAGG
rnacentral:rRNA from 1 species